rnacentral:lncRNA from 1 species
AGAAGGGGUGGUGCCUGGGAGGACCUGCAGAGGAGCUCCCGCAUCUCCUCAGGCCCUUUCUUCUGCGCCAUCUUGUGGCAGUUGAGAGCAGGCCCAGGGCAGAAGGGAGGCAGGGGCAUUAAGAGCUCAGGCCUCCAGCUGAGGGACUGCAGAUGUUGGACUCAUGGAGGCAACCACUCAAGGUCACUCUGAGAAGGGUUGAACGUGCUUUAUUAAAAGGACUGAGGAUCAUGUGUGUUGGUGUGUCCCGGAGUCUGCUCUAAGGCCCUGUGGCUGCCUGGUGCCCUGGGAAUGGUCCGGUCAUGGGCCUCAGCCCAGGAUGAGCAGCCAACAAUGCAAUCCCACGAAGAGUGUGCGGAAGGGAGAGGUUACUUCUCAAGAUGGAGCUGCCAAAUAGGGACACUUUGGAGAGUCUGGCCUGAGAACUUUUAGUUUCAAGAAUGUAUUGCUUUGGAAAAGACAGAAUAAAAGUCCAAGCACUGCCACUUA